rnacentral:rRNA from 1 species
UACAGUGGCGGUCCCGCCGCAGCUUCCAUUGCGUAGUAGCUAACACCUCGCAACUGGAGAGCGGCGCGGCCACGCCGUAAAACACCCAACUUCUGAAUGUUGACCUCGAAUCAGGUAGGAAUACCCGCUGAACUUAAGCAUAUCAAUAAGCGGAGGAAAAGAAACCAACAGGGAUUGCCCCAGUAACGGCGAGUGAAGCGGCAACAGCUCAAAUUUGAAAUCUGGCUCUCGGGCCCGAGUUGUAAUUUGUAGAGGAUGCUUUUGGUGAGGUGCCUUCCGAGUUCCCUGGAACGGGACGCCAUAGAGGGUGAGAGCCCCGUCUGGUUGGACACCGAUCCUCUGUAAAGCUCCUUCGACGAGUCGAGUAGUUUGGGAAUGCUGCUCUAAAUGGGAGGUAUAUGUCUUCUAAAGCUAAAUACCGGCCAGAGACCGAUAGCGCACAAGUAGAGUGAUCGAAAGAUGAAAAGAACUUUGAAAAGAGAGUUAAACAGUACGUGAAAUUGUUGAAAGGGAAGCGCUUGUGACCAGACUUGGGCUUGGUUGAUCAUCCGGGGUUCUCCCCGGUGCACUCUUCCGGCYCAGGCCAGCAUCAGUUCGCCCUGGGGGAYAAAGGCUUCGGGAAUGUGGCUCUCUCCGGGGAGUGUUAUAGCCCGUUGCGUAAUACCCUGUGGCGGACUGAGGU